rnacentral:rRNA from 1 species
UACGUAGGGGGCUAGCGUUGUCCGGAAUCAUUGGGCGUAAAGAGCGCGUAGGCGGCCAGAUAAGUCCGGUGUGAAAGUCAAAGGCUCAACCUUUGAAUGCCGCUGGAAACUGUCUGGCUAGAGUCCGGAAGAGGCGAGUGGAAUUCCCCGGUGUAGCGGUGAAAUGCGCAGAUAUCGGGAGGAACACCAAUUGCGAAGGCAGCUCGCUGGGACGUUACUGACGCUGAGACGCGAAAGCGUGGGGAGCAAACAGG